CUGAGGACUCUCUCAUCAGCAGCACGUUCACAUGUGACAACCAAACCUGCUCUCACGAGGGAGGAGAGCGAGCAGAGAUCAUCACACCUGGUGCUUCUCUGGACGUCUACCUGGAGAACGGUUCAGUCAUCUGUAACCAUAGCAACCAGGUCAGCUCUACAAGGGACAUCCAAAAGAUUGAAGAUCUUUGUGUGAAGCCCGACGCAUCGAAAGGCAGCCAAAAUAAUGUUACACCGAUUGUUGUAGCCAUCGUCUUAUCUCUUGGUGUUGUUUUGGCUAUAAUUUGAAUUCAUCAUCGAAGGAGAAAACAAAGUAAGUUAAGUUUGCAUUUAAACUGAAUUUAAAUGUGAAAUCAGAAAAUCCUUAUUGUUUACAUCAAACUGAAUUGACCCUUUAGAUGAGUACAUUCUUCUCCCCUGUGUUGAUGUUUUUAUUAUCAUUCAAAAGACGUCCCUUAUGAGUGAAUCCUCUUAUCAGGGCGAUCUGAU